GAUGAACGCUAGCGGGAGGCCUAACACAUGCAAGCCGAGCGGUAUUGUUUCUUCGGAAAUGAGAGAGCGGCGUACGGGUGCGGAACACGUGUGCAACCUGCCUUUAUCUGGGGGAUAGCCUUUCGAAAGGAAGAUUAAUACUCCAUAACAUAUUGAUUGGCAUCAAUUAAUAUUGAAAGCUCCGGCGGAUAGAGAUGGGCACGCGCAAGAUUAGCUAGUUGGUGAGGUAACGGCUCACCAAGGCGAUGAUCUUUAGGGGGCCUGAGAGGGUGAUCCCCCACACUGGUACUGAGACACGGACCAGACUCCUACGGGAGGCAGCAGUGAGGAAUAUUGGUCAAUGGGUGCAAGCCUGAACCAGCCAUCCCGCGUGAAGGACGACUGCCCUAUGGGUUGUAAACUUCUUUUGUAUAGGGAUAAACCUACCCUCGUGAGGGUAGCUGAAGGUACUAUACGAAUAAGCACCGGCUAACUCCGUGCCAGCAGCCGCGGUAAUACGGAGGGUGCAAGCGUUAUCCGGAUUUAUUGGGUUUAAAGGGUCCGUAGGCGGACUUAUAAGUCAGUGGUGAAAGCCUGUCGCUUAACGAUAGAACUGCCAUUGAUACUGUAAGUCUUGAGUAUAUUUGAGGUAGCUGGAAUAAGUAGUGUAGCGGUGAAAUGCAUAGAUAUUACUUAGAACACCAGUUGCGAAGGCAGGUUACCAAGAUAUAACUGACGCUGAGGGACGAAAGCGUGGGGAGCGAACAGGAUUAGAUACCCUGGUAGUCCACGCCGUAAACGAUGCUAACUCGUUUUUGGGCUUUAGGGUUCAGAGACCAAGCGAAAGUGAUAAGUUAGCCACCUGGGGAGUACGCUCGCAGGAGUGAAACUCAAAGGAAUUGACGGGGGCCCGCACAAGCGGUGGAUUAUGUGGUUUAAUUCGAUGAUACGCGAGGAACCUUACCAAGACUUAAAUGGGAAUUGACAGCUUUAGAAAUAGAGCUUUCUUCGGACAAUUUUCAAGGUGCUGCAUGGUUGUCGUCAGCUCGUGCCGUGAGGUGUUAGGUUAAGUCCUGCAACGAGCGCAACCCCUGUCACUAGUUGCCAUCAUUCAGUUGGGGACUCUAGUGAGACUGCCUACGCAAGUAGAGAGGAAGGUGGGGAUGACGUCAAAUCAUCACGGCCCUUACGUCUUGGGCCACACACGUAAUACAAUGGCCGGUACAGAGGGCAGCUACACAGCGAUGUGAUGCAAAUCUCGAAAGCCGGUCUCAGUUCGGAUUGGAGUCUGCAACUCGACUCUAUGAAGCUGGAAUCGCUAGUAAUCGCGCAUCAGCCAUGGCGCGGUGAAUACGUUCCCGGGCCU
rnacentral:rRNA from 1 species